rnacentral:rRNA from 1 species
UACGAAGGGGCUAGCGUUGCUCGGAAUUACUGGGCGUAAAGCGCACGUAGGCGGCUUUCUAAGUCGGGGGUGAAAUCCUGGAGCUCAACUCCAGAACUGCCUUCGAUACUGGAAAGCUCGAGUCCGGGAGAGGUGAGUGGAACUGCGAGUGUAGAGGUGAAAUUCGUAGAUAUUCGGCAAGAACACCAGUGGCGAAGGCGGCUCACUGGCCCGGUACUGACGC